GACGAACGCUGGCGGCGUGCUUAACACAUGCAAGUCGAACGGUAAGGCCCUUCGGGGUACACGAGUGGCGAACGGGUGAGUAACACGUGGGUGAUCUGCCCUGCACUUCGGGAUAAGCCUGGGAAACUGGGUCUAAUACCGGAUAGGACCACUGCCUGCAUGGGUGGUGGUGGAAAGCUUGUGCGGUGUGGGAUGGGCCCGGGGCCUAUCAGCUUGUGGGUGGGGGGGUGGCCUCUCAAGGCGACGACGGGUAGCCGGCCUGAGAGGGUGACCGGCCAAACAGGGGCGGAGUUACGUCCGAGACACCUACGGGAGGCAGGAGGGGGGAAUACUGCACAAGGGGCGCAAGCCUGAUGGAGCGAGGCCGCGGGAGGGAUGACGGCCUUCGGGUUGUAAACCUCUUUCAGCACCGACGAAGCGCAAGUGACGGUAGGUGCAGAAGAAGGACCGGCCAACUACGUGCCAGCCGCCGCCGUAA
rnacentral:rRNA from 1 species